rnacentral:rRNA from 1 species
CCUACGGGAGGCAGCAGUGAGGAAUAUUGGUCAAUGGGAGAGAUCCUGAACCAGCCAAGCCGCGUGAGGGAAGACGGCCCUAUGGGUUGUAAACCUCUUUUGUCGGAGAACAAAACCCGGGACGAGUCCCGGACUGCGUGUAUCCGACGUAAACGCAUCGGCUAACUCCGUGCCAGCAGCCGCGGUAAUACGGGGGAUGCGAGCUGUAUCCGGAUUUAUUGGGUUUAAAGGGUGCGUAGGCGGUCUGUUAAGUCCGCGGUAAAAGUGCGGGGCUCAACUCCGUCGAGCCGUUGAAACUGGCAGACUUGAGUGGGCGAGAAGUACGCGGAAUGCGCGGUGUAGCGGUGAAAUGCAUAGAUAUCGCGCAGAACUCCGAUUGCGAAGGCAGCGUACCGGCGCCAGACUGACGCUGAGGCACGAAAGCGUGGGGAUCGAACAGGAUUAGAUACCCCUGUAGUC